GACACAGGAAGUGAGAUAAAAAACAGCCUCUGGAGUUCUCGUGACUUCCUGUGGAGAGGGCUAGAGUUCAGUUCGAUCCUGGAGCUCAAGCUUGGAGGAGCUCAGCAGACAGCUUUCCUUCAGACUGGUCACGGGUGGGAGGAGAAGAUAGAUAAGAACAGAACUCAAGAGUUGACAUUCCCAGCCCACCAUACUCAAAUUCUGCCUUUAUUUAAUGGGAGAGAUUGUUUGCUUCAGCCAGAUGUUCAAGCGCACUCCACCAACAUCCCAACCCAGGAAGGAAAACAAGCUAGCCACAGAAGACCACCCAAUUUAUCUCCUUUCUCUGUCAGCAAUCCAAGAGUCAGGAGGCUCCUGGGAAAUGUAGUUCAAAGGCACAAGAUUUCCAAUUACAUUCAAGGGAGCAUCUACAGAAGUAAUUCAGCUGCCCUAGCAAGGGGGACAUUUUCAAAGGAUGAAGAAUUGACUGAACCUCAAAGGCUGGAUGAUUCCAUUUAUGCACUUCAGUACAACUCCGUCACACCUUUGGGCUCACCCUAGCCAAAAGCCUUUGGUCUCUUUCUUCACCUUGCUUUACACUCCCUUCUUCUCCCCCCACCUCAACCUUUCAGCUCCACUUUACAUUUAAGUGGGUUCAGAUGGGUUUCUGAUGUGCUGUGGCCUUGGAUGUAUUACUGAAUAAACAAUUCUAGAAAUCAAUUAAGCA
rnacentral:lncRNA from 1 species